rnacentral:misc_RNA from 1 species
GUUGGAGCUCUAACCGGCGACCUCAAUUCUGAACCAGAGACAGUAUCAGUUCUUGACGCCCAGCGGCACGAUGGGCAUACCGUCCUGCGCGGCGACGGGCAUGGACUCGAGCUUGCAGUCGAGCGGCGGCGGCGGCGGCGGCGGCAGCGCGGCGUCCUCCACGACCGCCCUCCGCACGAGGCGCAGCAGCGUCUCCUCCAGCUCGGCGCCGUCGGUCCAGGGGUGCACCUCCGCCUGCAGGCGCGCGGGGUCCUCGCAGAUGAGGUCCCAGACGGGGUAACCCCUGCGGGGCAUCACGAAGUCUGUGCGCGCCAGCCGCAGCGCCGGGCAGUAGUCGCCGCGGCCGUCGCCCAGGUAGAUGACGCGCGGCUUCGCGGAGGAUGCGGUCUCGGCCUCGGCCUCGGCCUCGCGGAGGAUGCGGUCCAGCACGAGGCCCUUGCACAUGUUGGGCGGGCAGGUGCCGACGCCGCAGCCGUGCGGCGCCGCGCGCGGGUCGUGGCAGGGCCCGAUGCGGAGUCGGCCGUGGGCGUCGACGCGGCUGGGGUUGGUGUUGACCUGGGAGAAGCAGGCGAGCAGGCCGUGGUGGUCCAGGACGGUGUGGAUGAAGAAGGCGUUGGCGUCGCUGAGCACGCGCAGGUCGCAGCCGAGCGCGUGCGCGGCCCUGACGGCGGCGGGCACGCGCGGGUCGAUGGGCGCCGCCCUGAGCGCCUCGGUCACCUCGGCCAGCGUCCUGCCCCGCGCGUGCAGCUCCCCCAUCAUCGUGUCCAUGAGCGUGUUCCAGGGCGUGGUGGGGAGGAGGCGCUCGAACAGGUCGGUGAGGCCGAGGCUGUCCACCACCCAGUUGUCGCUGUCCACGUCGAUGAUCGUCUUGUCGAAGUCGAACACCACCACGAUCCCGGCCAUGUGUGGUGUGGGUUUAGCUGGCUGGCUGGCUACGAUGCUUCGUGUGGUAGACCGUAGACGUGGGUGGGUUGCGCUUGCGAGCGAGCUUGUUUGCACUGGAUCGAUGGCUAGGGAGCCGCGGUGGAGGCGGCCUUUAUAUACCGGGCGUCGGGGCGGGAAGGGGAAGAUGCCGAGGGAAUAUUACAGAGAUGCUCUAAGAAUAGCGUAGCGAGCCAGCCUCGGUGCUGUUGGGUUCUCGCCUUCUCUCGGUGGAGUAGAUUCGCCAAACCACGCGUGGCGCCCAGCUUCUGGUUUGGUUCGCGGUCGGGCCGGCGGGUGCGCCGUGCGCGGGAUGCGGCUUCUUGCUUGUUCCAUUCGAUGGGGGGAAGGAAUG